GUGAAUUAGUUGUGCUGCUCUCAAUGCGUCUCAGUGCCUUUGUGCCGCGCUUGCAGCUGCAUGGAGCAGGGCAGCGAACCCUGUGUUGGGGUGGCAGUAGGAGCAGGAGAUGGGCACCGUGCUCACCCGCAGGCCAGGCACGUGCCAGAAGUCCUGUCACUGGGGAUUUUUUAAAAAUAGACUGGAUGAAACACAAGACGGUGGAUGGACAGAUCGGUCCUGCCUUGGCCGGGGGACAGCAGGUCUCCACGAAUGGCAGGUCUCAGUCUGGAACUGAUUUGACUCCAGUCACCAGAGCCGCUGCUACCAGGGAUUUUGUAAGAGUCUGCAAGGCCUUUAAUCUCUUCCCCUACAAAUAGGUACGAUGUAAAACCCAAAUCCUGACCACCUCGUGGUUACGAGUCCUGCAGCACUUCCUGCAAGAGCCAGGAGCGUGAGCCCCGGGGUCCUGGCCAAAUUCCAGCGUGGGAAUUCGCCUCUGCCCCUGGGUUCCUGCAGCAUCAGCUCCGCACUGCUCGCUGCCAGGGCCGGGCUGCAUCCUCACAGCAGCCCCUGUGCUGUGGUGCUAUGCCCCGAGAAAAAUGCAUUAUUAUUUUUUUUGUAUUUGUGUUGUUUUUCUCAUUUAGCUUGUUUAGCGAGUUAGUUUUGUUUGGUCUGUGGAAACAUGCUCCACUGCUCUCCUGCCACCAGCCCUUCGUGGAGCUGCCUCCCUGUGCUCCUAGGAUUGCUUCUCAUCGUUCUGAUGCCAAAUCCCCAGCCAGCUCACACCUGCAAAGGAGAAAUCCAGAGCAGGACAGGCAGCCCUGCUGCACCCUGCCGAGGUCUGGCCACCUCCAGCCCAGAAAUUGUCCUGGCUAAUUCCGACCUGGCACAGGGCCGAGUGUUUACGGGUUGAAACACGAAAAAGUUACUUUUUUAUUUAUUAUUUUAUUUUUUAAUUAAAAUUUUAAUUCAAUUCUGCCUGUUGUGUGAGAUGGA
rnacentral:lncRNA from 1 species